ACUCAAAUGAAUUGACGGGGGCCCGCACAAGCGGCGGAGCGCGUUGCUUAAUUCGAUGCGAAGCGAAGAACCUUACCCAGGCUUGACAUGUGGGAAGUAGGUGCCUGAAAGGGUAUCCGAACCGUAAAGUCGGUAACUCAUGCAGGUGUUGCAUGGCUGUCGUCAGCUCGUGCCGUGAGGUGUUGGCUUAAGUGCCGCAACGAGCGCAACCCCCGUCGUAUGUUGCCAGCGGGUAAUGCCGGGCACUCAUGCGAGACUGCCGGGGAAACCCCGGAGGAAGGAGGGGAUGACGUCAAGUCAGCAUGGCCCUUACGCCUGGGGCUGCAAACGCGCUACAAUGCGCGGUACAGCGGGCUGCAAACCCGCAAGGGGGAGCGAAUCCCGAAAAACCGCGCCCAGUUCGGAUCGGGGUCUGCAACUCGACCCCGUGAAGUUGGAGUCGCUAGUAAUGGCAGAUCAGCAUGCUGCCGUGAAUGCGUUCUCGGGCCUUGCACACACCGCCCGU
rnacentral:rRNA from 1 species